GAGAAUAAAUAAAGGUAAAUUAUUAUAGGGAAGAGCCCACAUUGUUCUUCCAUUUCUUUUUCAGCUGCUUUUAAUUGGUGGACUUUGUUGAGUGUGUCACCAUCAACCACACACAAAAAAUGGAAACGUGUAUGAAUGACUCUUAAAGAAUUAAUAGAUUCAAGCCUGCUGAUUCCUUGUCAACAGGUCUACAUGAAGAAGAAAUGAUGGGAGCAAACAAUCAGGAGGCAGGGAAGCACUGCACCAGCUCCUAACACAAGAGUGCAACAUGUUAUCCACUAGAUAUGACACAACCAGAUUGCCCCUACAGCCAAUGCUUCAGGAAGAAACAGCCUUAUACUCACAGGUUCAAAAAAUCUUUCUCUAAGUGUGGAGAACAAUAGGAGAAAGUGAAGAAUCCCAGUAAGAUGAUGUGAGACUGAUACCGUGACUGAGAAGU
ensembl:lincRNA